rnacentral:rRNA from 1 species
UACAGAGGUCCCAAGCGUUGUUCGGAUUCACUGGGCGUAAAGGGUGCGUAGGCGGUCGGGUAAGUCUGAUGUGAAAUCUCACAGCUUAACUGUGAACCUGCAUUGGAUACUAUCCGGCUCGAGGAAUGGAGGGGAGACUGGAAUACUUGGUGUAGCAGUGAAAUGCGUAGAUAUCAAGUGGAACACCAGUGGCGAAGGCGAGUCUCUGGACAUUUCCUGACGCUGAGGCACGAAAGCCAGGGGAGCAAACGGG